AAAGAGCAUACCUGGGCCGUCCAGCAGGAAGACGUCCUAUCGGACGCCCCAGAUAUCGCUGGUGCGACAUGGUGGAGGCGGACCUGCGCGAACUUCGAGUCAACAAUUGGCGAGAGGUCGUACAGGACCGAGAAAAGUGGCGCUGUCUUGUGUCGGAGACCAAGUCUCAUUUUGGGUCGCUGAGCCAACGGAGUAAGUAAGUAUAGAACAUAGAUUUCGAACGCCAAGAACACCUAAAGGCGUCGUAACUAUAGUUCGUUUUUUUUAGCAUUAGAAAGAACUUCAGCAGAAGUAAGCUUGCGGUUCCAAAGCCGGCCCUUGUAGCGAUAAUAAUUUGAAGUAAAUUAUAUGUAUUGACCAUGCUACAUUAGAGAAUUCAAUAAUUAUUAACAAUUAAAGAGCCUGAUAAAAGCUGCACGCUUGCUUCUGUGGAGUUCUUUCUAAUGCAAAAAAAAACGAACUAUAGUGCCCACAGCGCCGUGAACACAGAUGUUAUGGCGUGAACACUUUGAAUGCUUUACAUUUAAAGGCCUUUAGCGUUCAAAUGGUUAAACAUUAGUGUAUUAUUUAAUUCGUUUACUCCAAUUCAAAAGACAUUCCAAAUUAUGCCAAAGUAAAUUACAAGUGGGUAAAAAUGCAGCCCUAUUUAUUUUAUGGGUAAUUUGCAUACAAUCAGUAGAAUAAUUCGCUUAAAUACCUACCUAUGUAGUGUGUAUACAGCCUAUAAAUGAAUUGUUUUAUUUUUGUUAAAUGAGAUUGUUAUUAUUCGGCGUUUUGUAUGUACUAUAUUUUGAUUUUUAAAAAGGCCUGUGCACACCAGAUGCGUUAGCGUAUAAGUAUACGCAAGUGCACGUUCGCGUUAUAAUAUACGAAUUCUUGUGAGUGACGGCACACCGCUUGCGUGACGUUUACGCACACAGCUGGUGUACACAUGCCUUUAAUUUUGCAUUUUUUCUAAGACUGCAUUGAAUCAAGUGCAAUUACUUUUGUGGCUAAAGCAAUGUAAAGCUUGCUAUAAGGUAAGUUUUGAUCGUAAUUAUGAAAUUAUACCUAAAAAAUAUUGAUAUCAGACGAUGGCUAAAACGAUAAAAUUAGCUGUAGGGUUUAGGGACAGGACAAGAGUAACGCGAGUCACCAAUUUAUUGCGUGUUUUUUUAUUCAUGAUAUAAAUCACUACAUCUUAUAAAACAAAGUCCCCCGCCGCGUCUGUUUGUGUGUUUGUUCGCUAUAAACUCAAAAACUAAUGAACGGAUUUUCAUGCGGUUUUCACCUAUCAAUAGAGUGAUUCUUGAGGAAGGUUUAGGUGUAUAACUUGUUAACCUGUGCGCAGCAGAGGGGCGGGUCGCUAAUCGACUUAUAUAAUUGCACCAUUAAUAAAAUAUACGCAGUAAAAUCGUGACUCGCGCUACUUUUUCGUAGAAACAACUCUUAUGUGACUUAAUUGUGAAUCUAUGUUCAAUUUUACACAAUAUGGGAUGGACUGAUUUGUUAAGAUUAAGCAAUAAACGAUUUCUUAUUGGA